rnacentral:rRNA from 1 species
UACGGAGGGGGCUAGCGUUGUUCGGAAUUACUGGGCGUAAAGCGCACGUAGGCGGCUUUGUAAGUUAGAGGUGAAAGCCCAGGGCUUAACCCUGGAAUUGCCUUUAAGACUGCAUCGCUAGAAUCGUGGAGAGGUGAGUGGAAUUCCGAGUGUAGAGGUGAAAUUCGUAGAUAUUCGGAAGAACACCAGUGGCGAAGGCAGCUCGCUGGGACGUGACUGACACUCAACUACGAAAGCGUGGGGAGCAAACAGG